GACUACAACAGUAAACAAACAAAAGAAGUGUUACUUACUAGUUGCCUCUGUGCAGUCAUACUUCCAGGGUCUAGCUCCUCUUGUGUUGAGGUGUACAGCUGUAUACAAAAGCUGGGGAUGCAGGAGCACUCUCACAUUAGGAUGAUGUAAUUGGCUCAGUUUACAUAAAGGAGUGCACCCUCCCUUCCACCCUAAGGCACCUCAGUUUCUCCUCCUUAGCCUCUAAGGCGGAGGUGAAGCUGGGUGCAUAGUGUGAAUGUAGGGGCAACUCUUGAAGAAUAAUAGUUACCACUAAAUAACCAUUCUUUUUUCUUCUAGUGUCUCUGUGCAUUCCCACUUAUGGAUGAUUAGCAAGCAGCGUCCCCAUUAGAGGAUGGUGGGUGAGGAGAUCUAGGCAAAAAUGGACUCCUCCAUCAUUUUACCAGAUUGAGCACUGGACUGCAAUGCCAAGUCCAUACUUUUUUUUAAGUAAACAUUGUGCUCAUUCAUCAGAACUCUAUGUUGCUGAUUUGCAAAUCUUUGCAACAGGCACCUGGACAGACAGGAUACAAAGGCAGGUGUGGCCUUAGUAGAGUAUCUUCAAGUCAAGAGGCACUGGUUUCCUGGCAAAGAAGUAACACUACUCAAUACACCCCUUAAUCCAGUCUGAAAGAAUUAGCUAAUUAAUAGGUUACCCCUUUCUCCUCAGGUAACAAAUCUGUUUGAUUUUUGGGAAAGACUUAAUCCUCUCUAGCUAAUAGCACAUUGCUCUUUUUAUGUGUUAAGGGGUACAAGUGGGACUUGCUUUGGUGAACAUGGGAUUAGGGUAAGAAAACAGGGAGGACGACAUAAAAUGACAGAUGGAAAUCUAGGAGUCCCAUAGUAUAGUUAUAUCUAGACAUGACAUCUUGGUAAUUUGCCAUUUGUAAACCCAAAAAGGUGGAAUAAUUGGCUUUCCUCCCAACAGCAUUCAGUCUAUGCUACUCUCCGUCCAAGGGUUCAGACAGGGACCCCUUGUUACUUUUAGAUAAUGCUUGGGCUGCAGAUUCCUGCAUGGAACCUACAGAAGGAUAUUGUAACAAAACUGGUGUCCCUUGAGGGCACAAAACGUACAAGAUUAGCUCUUUUUGAAACUGGGAAUGAGGGCAGAGAGCCAAAUGUCCUUUGCUUGAUUGAGUAGUCAUGGAAAAAUAAGAAAUGCGACAUUGUCUUUUGUCUGCCAUUCCAUGACGUCAAAAGAGAGUCUGGUGCUGAAACCUGUCUGAAACUAAGGAGUGUCAGCCAUUCUCCAAAUCAGCUCUUGAAACCACUUCAGUCCAUCUCUAUUCCUGAUGAACCAAGUCCUAAUUUAUCCAUCAGGGGUUGCACUGUUGAUAUAGUCCCUUAUAGGGGACUCCUCCAUUUUCCCUGAAGGAGCUUCCUUCCCAGUCAUCAGAAGCAUGCCUCUCUUCUUGAGGCAGCAAAGAUGCUGGUGCUGACAGUUGCUGGUCACAGCUAUUCCAACUCAGACAUGGCUGUCCUCAAAGGCAGCAGUGCCAGAAAUGAGGUUAAGCCUGGGAAAGCUGUCUGCUCCAAUGGAGCGGUCUCCUUUGACAGGAAAGGUAUCGGUCUCAAUGUAAAUGCCAGUGCCAAAGUGGGUGCCAUGCUGGUUUUGGUGGCAUCAAGCAAAAUCGUCACUGAUGCCUGAACGUAUGGCCAUACCAACAGUUGAAGGGAGCCCUUGUAUAAAGUCUUUCCAAGAAGAUAGGGCUUUUGGUCAAGGUGGAGGUGAAGAAGAAAGUUCUCCACUGUUACAAAGGCUACUUGUUAGGAGUAAUUCACAGAGCAAGAGUCAAUCAUGUGUAAAAAUAGUUUGUUUUAUAUAUAUGUAUGCUAUUUGUGGGACAGUUUAAAACACUUCAAUACUCUGUAUAAAUUAUAAUUUCAGAAAAAAAUUUAGAUACUGUCACCCACAAAUACUCAGUAUAUUACAUCAGUCACAAGGUGGCCUGUGGUCAUUUGAGCAAUUCUGCAUAGUAACUCUAGAACCAGAUAUGCGUUUGCAGAGCAUUUUGUGGCUCACACGGGGUAAAUUCUAAGUUUUUCAACUAACUGGAACUGUUGAUACAUCUUGCUCUGUAAAACCCCAAUCUCAGUAAUUCUUUCAAUCCUAUAUGCUUGUUAUGAAAGAUGCUACCAAAAAUAAAGAGCAAUACUUUACAAAAUAAUGACCACACUUUAUGGAAUUAAUUAUAGCAAUAGACAGCAGGACAAACUGAAAUAAACAAUGGUAGCUAUGUUUUAAAAGCAACAAUGGAAGAGGGUAAAUAUAAGGGGAUGAUGAUUAGUGGUGUUUAUUCUGAAGGCUAAAUCUGAUGCUUAGUAACCAAGACCACAGGGCCCCACAUAUAUCCCAUACUACUUCUGUUUUCAGAGCAUGCAGUCUGGAUUGUCCCAAUAGGGGUAAAUCUGCUUGUUUCCUAAGAGGAAGGAAUUCGCUUUUAGCUUCAGAGAGGGGGAACCACAAAUCAGCAAAACUGGGGACCCCCUUUGGAAUACAUCUCAGAGGGAACAUUUGAGGCAAAUCAAUCUGAAAAUUAACCCUAAUUUAUUUCAGAGCCUAACUUUAGGGUUUUUUUGGUUUGUUUUUCUUUUUUUUUUUAAGUCUUGGUAUAUAUACACAAAACCACACAGAUUCAAGUACAAAGUAAAGUUUAAUUAGACCUCAACAACAUUAAAUGGACAAAAAGAAAGGGUAAAGAAAUGUGAAGCGUGCAAUCCUGUUCUAUACUUGUUUCCUAAGAAUUACAUGUAGGAGAUAAACUUGUUCUGAAACUUUACAAGUGCUUCCACCAAUUUGUGUGAAUUCUGAUUAUAUUCAUGAAGAUAUGGAAUUACCAGCUCUCUCUACUUUUAGACAGUACAUGGACAAACAUUGUGCAAGUUUCCACAUCUGAACUGUAUUCUAUAACACCUGCAUUACAGCCCCAGACAUGUCGAACAAAAUUAUCAGUCUUGUUCAGUUUUUCCAAAUUGUGUAAGAUCUAAGCAAAACAUCCAUCAUUUUGGGAUAGAAUGAGGCUAAAUAUUUUUUUAUCUGAGACCACAACUAGAUUUGAGCUAGAUCAUCAGAGUUGAGAUUGCUAGAACAUUAACCCUUUGUAAAAUUACUCACCUUUUCAUAACUGUUGUUUCUUGAGAUGUGUUGCUCAUAUCCAUUCCAAUUAAGUGUGUGCAUGCUGCAUAUACAGUUCACCAGAAGGUUUUUCUAUUAGUGGCACCUGUCGGGUUGGCUCUAGAGCUCCCUGGAGUUGCACCUUCAUGACGCCGCAUAUAGGGUCCUGCCGACCCGCUGCCUCCAGUUCCUUCUUGCUGGAUACUCCGACAGAGGGGAAGCGGGUGGGUUUGGAAUGGAUAUGAGCAACACAUCUCGAAGACCAAGAAGGUGAGUAACCGAUUUUUCUUCUUCGAGUGCUUGCUAUAUCAAUUCCAAUUAGGUGACACCCAAGCCUUACCUAGGAGGUGGGGUUGGAGUUUAUGGAAUCACUGAUUGAAGCACACAGCCACCUGCUGAACACUGCAUCAUCCCUGGCAUGCUGGGUGAUGGUGUAAUGUGAAGUGAAGGUGUGGACCGAAGACCACGUAGCCGCUCUGCAUAUUGCCUGGAUUGGUACCCGGGCCAGGAAGGCCGCCGAAGAUGCCUGAGCUAUGGUGGAGUGUGCAGUCAGAGUGGGGGCAGGGAUCUUAGCGAGGUCAUAACACACCUGGAUACAGGAUGUGAUCCACAACAAUAUCCUCUGCGUGGACACUGGGAAGCCUUUCAUCCUGUCUGCCACAGCAACAAACAGCUGGUUCAACUUACAGAAUGGCUUAGUUUGUUCAGUAUAAAAAGCCAAUUCACGCUGUACAUCCAGGGAAUGGAGCCUCUGCUUGCGGCUACUGGCAUAGGGUUUGGGGAAAAAGACUGGAAGGAAUAUGUCUUGAUUGGUGUGGAAACUCGAGACCACCUUUGGGAAGAACGCCAGGUGGGGUCGCAGUUGCACCUUAUCUUUGUAGAAAAUGGUAUACGGAGGGUCAGUUGUGAGAUCCUUGAGCUCAGACACCCUUCUGGCUGAUGUUAUUGCAACCAAAAAGUCCACCUUGUAGGAAAGGUAGAGGAGUGAGCACAUAGCUAGGGGCUUGAACAGGGGCCCCAUCCGCCCCGAGAGUACCAAGUUAUGGUCCCAAGCGGGGGUGGGCUAGCAAAUAUGAGGAUAUAAUCUGUCUAAACUCUUGAGGAACCGCCGCACCAUUUCGCUAGUGAAGAUGGUGCGUCCAUGCGCUCCUGGGUGAAAAACUGAGAUGGCACCCAGGUGAACCUUUAUCAAGGAGUGAGACAAGCCCUGCUGUUCCAACUUUAGAAGAUAGUCUAAGAUAAAGGGGACCGACGAUUGUGUUGGAGGGAUACAACUCCAAAAGCACCAAAUCGCGAAUCUCUUCCACUUGGUUAGGUAAGUUGCUUUGGUUGAAGGCUUUCUGCUACCCAGAAGAACCUCCCUAACAGGGUCUGAGCAUAUAAGCUCUAGCAGGUUCAACCAUGCAGCUUCGAAGCCAAGAGGUGGAGAGACUCGAGAUUGGGGGUGUUGAAGCCUUCUGUGAUAUUGAGUGACGAAGUCCGGAACUAGCAGUAGAGGAACUGGAGUGUCCACCGAUAGCUGCAGUAACUUAGUAUACCAAUGCUGACGUGGCCAGGCCAGUGCCACCAGGAUCACUGAGGUUCCGUCGCUCCGGACUUUGAGGAGGACCUUGUGAAUCAGUGGUAUGGAAGGGAAUGCGUAGAACAGGCAGUCCUUCCAUGGAAGGAGAAAUGCAUCCGCCAACAAAUCCGGGCUGUGGUUUAGGAAGGAGCAGAACUGUAGGCACUUCCUAUUGGCCCUUGUGUCGAACAGAUCAAUCUGGGGAACUCCCCACCUCUGGAAAUUAUUAUUUACCACAUCCAGGCGGAUAGACCACUCAUGGUUGUGGAAAGACCUGCUGAGGUGGUCUGCUAGAGGGCUUCCUCACACAGGGGAGAGGAGCGUGCACCCCAGUCUGUUGAUAUAAAACAUCGCUGUUGUAUUGUCUGUCAGGACCGAUAUGCACUUUCCCUCCCCAGGAGAGGCCUGAUAUGCCAGCUGGACCACCCUGAGCUCCCUUACAUUGAUGUGAAGCAUCAGUUCCUCUUGAGACCAGAGGCCCUGAGUUCUGUGCUCCCCAAGGUGUGUCCCCCACCCCAUGGCUGAGGCAUCGGUCGUCGGGUUUGGAAAACGCAACCCCUGCGCACACCAAGUGUGGGUUGAGCUGCUAGUGAAGAGACUUGAGAGCGUCUGGUGGAAGGGUAACCACCAUGUCUAGACUGUGCCUGCUUGGUCAAUACACUGAUGCCAGCCAAGCUUGGAGAGGUCUGAGUCUGAGCCUCACAUGUUGUACUACAUACGUGCAAGAUGCCAUGUGACCUAGGAUUUUUAAGCAACUCCUUACUGUGGUUAUAGGGAAUUGUUUGAGAGCCUGUAUUAUGUGACUGUCCUGGAAGCGGGAUUGGGGCAGGAACACUCUGGUCUGUGCGGAGUCUAGCACUGCUCCUAUGAACUCUAUUCUCUGAGUAGGGGUAAGCAUUGAUGUUUGAGUGUUUAGGAGGAGACCCAUUGCAUUGAAGGUGGAUCUUAUGAGGGAAACAUGUUGAUCCACUUGUGUUCUGGACCGGCCCUUGACUAGCCAGUCAUCUAGGUAAGGAAAUACCUGAAUCUACCUUUUCCCCAGAAAUGUGGCCAUGACUGACAUACAUCUGGUAAACACCUGAAGUGCUGACAAUAGGCAGAACGGUAGCGCUGUGAAUCGGUAGUGGGAACUCCCAACUGUAAGCCUUAAGAAGCACCUAUAGGGCAGAAUUAUGGAAAUGUGUGUCCUUCAAGUCGAGGGCGGCAUACCAAUCUCCUGGAUCCAGGGACGGGAUAAUAGUGGCCUAAGAGACCAUUAGAAACGUUAGUUUCUUCAUGAACCUGUUGAGACUGUGCAGGUCCAAGAAGGGUCUAAGGCCCCCUUUUACUUUCAGUAUUAGGAAAUACCAGGAGUAAAACUCCUUUCCCCUGAGCUCCAGUGGAACCUCAGAGCUCCCGCUGAUAGGAGGGUUUGUACCUCUUGGACGAGAAGUUGCUCAUGAGAGGGGUCCGUGAAGAGGGACGGGAAAGGGGGGCAAGGAAAAUUGGAGAGAAUAUCCCAUCUCUACCGUUCGGAGGACCCAAUGGUCUGAGGUGAUUUGGGACCACGCUUGGUAGAAAUGGGAUAGAUGUUCCGAAAACGGGAAAGAAGGAUCCAGUUGAAAGGUUGGUACAACACCGUUGGGCACAUCCUCAAAAAGUCUGCCUAGGGCCUAGUGGCUGCCUGGACGACCCAGACCCCCUGUUAUUCAGGGGUUGGGUGACGGCGGUUCUGGUCCUGCCUAAACUGCCCCUGGUAUGGUUGUGUUGCAGGUUGAGGCAUAAAUUGUCGAUGCUGGGUGGCAGAAGUGUGCACACUCAGCGAUCUUAGAGUGGCUCGGGAGUCUUUCAGACUGUGGAGUCUCAAGUCUGUUUUCUCUGAAAAUAAUGUGGCCCUCUCAAAUGGUAGGUCCUGAAUUGUCUGUGGGACCUCCUCAGGGAGGCCCGAGGCCUGCAGCCAUGAACAACGGCGCAUUGUGAUGCCCGAAGACAUCAUCCACAUCGCAGAGUCCACUGAGUCUAAUGCCGCUUGCAGCAACGUCCUGGCACAUCUUCGUCCAUGAGAGCAGAGAAUUCCAGCUUAGAAUCCGGUGGGACAAGGUCCGAGAAUUUGGACAUUGCGUCCCAAGACUUGAAGUUAUAUCAGCUAAGGAUCGCCUGCUGGUUUGCAAUCCAAAGCGGACGCCUCCCAGUGGAGUAUAUCCUCCUCCCAAAGAGGUCCAGCUUCUUUGCGUCCUUAGCUCGAGGGAACAUAUGCUAGAGGAUCGCUCAUUGAAGAUGAGAGACGAAACGGUCCAACAACCACCACUGGCAGUAAGAAGGAACUGGAGAAGCGGCAGAUCGGUGGGGCCCUAUACGUGGCACUAUGAAGGUGCGACUCCAGGGGGCUCCAGAGCCAACCUAAUGGGUGCUGUUGGGGAAAAAAAAAAAACCUUUCAUGGAAGCGGCGCGCA